GAUGAACGCUGGCGGCGUGCCUAAUACAUGCAAGUCGAGCGAACGGACGAGAAGCUUGCUUCUCUGAUGUUAGCGGCGGACGGGUGAGUAACACGUGGAUAACCUACCUAUAAGACUGGGAUAACUUCGGGAAACCGGAGCUAAUACCGGAUAAUAUUUUGAACCGCAUGGUUCAAAAGUGAAAGACGGUCUUGCUGUCACUUAUAGAUGGAUCCGCGCUGCAUUAGCUAGUUGGUAAGGUAACGGCUUACCAAGGCAACGAUUCAUAGCCGACCUGAGAGGGUGAUCGGCCACACUGGAACUUAGACACGGUCCAGACUCCUACGGGAGGCAGCAGUAGGGAAUCUUCCGCAAUGGGCGAAAGCCUGACGGAGCAACGCCGCGUGAGUGAUGAAGGUCUUCUGAUCGUAAAACUCUGUUAUUAGGGAAGAACAUAUGUGUAAGUAACUGUGCACAUCUUGACGGUACCUAAUCAGAAAGCCACGGCUAACUACGUG
rnacentral:rRNA from 1 species